rnacentral:rRNA from 1 species
AGAGCGAACGCUGGCGGCAGGCCUAACACAUGCAAGUCGAGCGCCCGUAGCAAUACGGGAGCGGCAGACGGGAUAGUAACACGUGGGAACGCGCCCUUCGGUUCGGAAUAACUCAGGGAAACUUGAGCUAAUACCGAAUACGCCCUUACGGGGAAAGAUUUAUUGCCGAAGGAACGGCCCGCGUCCGAUUAGCUAGUUGGUGAGGUAAUGGCUCACCAAGGCUACGAUCGGUAGCUGGUCUGAGAGGAUGACCAGCAUCACUGGGACUGAGACACGGCCCAGACUCCUACGGGAGGCAGCAGUGGGGAAUAUUGGACAAUGGGCGCAAGCCUGAUCCAGCCAUGCCGCGUGGAUGAUGAAGGCCUUAGGGUUGUAAAGUCCUUUAACGGGGAAGAUAAUGACGGUACCCGUAGAAUAAGCCCGGCUAACUUCGACGCCAGCAGCCGC